rnacentral:pre_miRNA from 1 species
GGUCCGGGAGGACUGGUCGGCCAGCCGGAAGGUAACAGUCGCUAAUGGACUUCACCUGCUCCACUAGCCGUCCCUGUCCACUGCAG